rnacentral:rRNA from 1 species
GACGAACGCUGGCGGCGUGCUUAACACAUGCAAGUCGAACGGAAAGGCCCUGCUUUUGUGGGGUGCUCGAGUGGCGAACGGGUGAGUAACACGUGAGUAACCUGCCCUUGACUUUGGGAUAACUUCAGGAAACUGGGGCUAAUACCGGAUAGGAGCUCCUGCUGCAUGGUGGGGGUUGGAAAGUUUCGGCGGUUGGGGAUGGACUCGCGGAUUAUCAGCUUGUUGGUGGGGUAGUGGCUUACCAAGGCUUUGACGGGUAGGCGGCCUGGGAGGGUGACCGGCCACCUUGGGACUGAGAUACGGCCCAGACUCCUACGGGAGGCAGCAGUGGGGAAUAUUGCACAAUGGGCGGAAGCCUGAGGCAGCAACGCCGCGUGCGUGAUGACGGCCUUCGGGUUGUAAACCGCUUUCGCCUGUGACGAAGCGGGAGUGACGGUAAUGGGUAAAGAAGCACCGGCUAACUACGUG